CCCUACGGGGCGCAGCAGUGAGGAAUAUUGGUCAAUGGGCGGGAGCCUGAACCAGCCAAGCCGCGUGAGGGAAGAAGGUACAGCGUAUCGUAAACCUCUUUUGUCAGGGAACAAAGGCGGGGACUAGUCCCCGGAUGAGGGUACCUGAAGAAAAAGCAUCGGCUAACUCCGUGCCAGCAGCCGCGGUAAUACGGAGGAUGCGAGCGUUAUCCGGAUUUAUUGGGUUUAAAGGGUGCGCAGGCGGCCUGUUAAGUCAGCGGUAAAAGCCCGGGGCUCAACCCCGGCCAGCCGUUGAAACUGGCGGG
rnacentral:rRNA from 1 species